rnacentral:rRNA from 1 species
UACAGAGGUCUCAAGCGUUGUUCGGAUUCAUUGGGCGUAAAGGGUGUGUAGGUGGCGCCGUAAGUCGGGUGGUGAAAUUUCGGAGCUUAACUCCGAAACUGCAUUCGAUACUGCGGAUCUUGAGUUCGGGAGAGGUGAGUGGGAACUGCGAGUGUAGAGGUGAAAUUCGUAGAUAUUCGCAAGAACACCAGUGGCGAAGGCGGCUCACUGGCCCGAUACUGACGCUGAGGUGCGAAAGCGUGGGGAGCAAACAGGG